AUAAGGAGGCUGUAUGGCGUAUUGCCAUGCCUCUUGUGAUGUGUGUGUAGGGAGGCUGCAUGUGGUAUUAAAUGUGUGGGAAUGCUGUUUGUGAAAUUAUGUGCAUACAGUGAGGUUCCUUGUGGGUUUGUGUGUGUGGAUGGAGCUGUUUGCAAUGUCGUAUGUGAGUGGAGAGUGCUGGUUGUGUUGCAGAGUGUGUGUGGAUAGGGGCUGUUGUGUGUGUG